rnacentral:rRNA from 1 species
AGCGAACGCUGGCGGCAGGCCUAACACAUGCAAGUCGAACGGACCCUUCGGGGUUAGGGGCGGACGGGUGAGUAACACGUGGGAACGUGCCUUUAGGGGCGGAAUAGCUCGUGGAAACGGGUGGUAAUGCCGAAUGUGCCCUUGGGGGGAAAGAUUCCUCGCCUUUAGAGCGGCCCGCGUCUGAUUAGCUAGUUGGUGGGGUAAUGGCUCACCAAGGCGACGAUCAGUAGCUGGUCUGAGAGGAUGACCAGCCACACUGGGACUGAGACACGGCCCAGACUCCUACGGGAGGCAGCAGUGGGGAAUCUUGCGCAAUGAGCGAAAGCCUGACGCAGCCAUGCCGCGUGAAUGAUGAAGGUCUUAGGAUUGUAAAAUUCUUUCACCGGGGACGAUAAUGACGGUACCCGGAGAAGAAGCCCCGGCUAACUUCGUGCCAGCAGCCGCGGUAA